rnacentral:rRNA from 1 species
CUACGGGCCGCAGCAGCUACGAAACUUCUACAAUGCACGCAAGUGUGAUAGAGGGAUCCCUAGUGCUCAUAUUCUAUAUGGGCUUUUAUCAAAGGUAGAUUCUUUGGUGAAUAAGUGAUGGGCAAGACCGGUGCCAGCAGCCGCGGUAAUACCGGCGUCACGAGUAGCAAUCGCGAUUAUUGGGUCUAAAGCGUUCGUAGCCGGUUUGAUAAAUCUUUUGUGAAAUUGUUAGGCUUAACUUAACAACGUGCAGAAGACACUAUCAGACUUGAGACUGGGAGGGGUUAGAAGUAUUUCAGGGGGAGCGGUUAAAUGUUAUAAUCCCUGAAGGACUACCAAUGGCGAAGGCAUCUAACCAGAACAGAUCUGACGGUGAGGAACGAAGGCUAGGGGAGCGAACCGGAUUAGAUACCCCUGUAGUC